AGACAAUAGUAGUAGAACAUCUCAUAAAUGAAAGUAUAACGUGUUAGAGUUAACUCUUGCCCGUGGGGCAUAAUUUGUUGUUUGAAAGUCCCUGAGCUAAGUCUUGCCUCUAAGACAAUAGUUGUAAAACAUCUCAUAAAUCAAAAUACAAUGUGGUAGUGUCAAAACUUUCCCAUGAAACAUAACUUGUUGUUUGAAAAUCCUUGAGCUAAGUCUUGCCUAUAAGGCAAUAGUUGUAGAACAUCUAAUAAAUGAAAACAUAACGUGGUAGAGUCAACUCUUGCUCGUGGAGUAUAAUUUUUUAUUUGAAAGUCACUGAGCUAAGUCUUUCCUCUAAGGUAAGAGUUAUAAAAUAUAUCAUAUAUCAAAAUACAAUGUGGUAAUGUCGACUCUUGCCCAUGAAAUAUAACUUAUUGUUUGAAAGUCCUAAGUCUUGCCUCUACAAUGUAGCAGUGUCAACUCUUACCCAUGAAACGUAGCUUAUUGUUCGAAAGUCGUAAGUCUUGCCUUUAUAAUGUGAUAGUUUCAACUCUCAUGAGAUGUAACUUGAAUGGAAGAAAUCGAAGAAAAGAACAAAAUGAAUAAAAAUUGCGGAAAAGGAAGAAAAUGAAGAAAAAUAUUUAAAAAAUAAUUAAAAAUCAAAGAAAAUGUAGAAGUUGAGAGAUAAUAGGAAAAUAAUAAAGGAUGAUUAAAAAAAAGAUUAAAUAAAAAUAAAGGUCGAGAAAAAUUUAAAAAGAAAAAAUCAAAAAAAAUAAAAGAAGUUUUUUUUUUUUUAUAAAAGUAGACAUUGAAAGGUGUAAAGAAAAAAGUAAGGGUUGAGAAAAACUAAAAAGAACAAAAAACAAAGAGGAAAGAAAAAGUAAAAAAGAAAAAAGAAAAAAAGAAGAAGUUGAGAGGAAAAAAGGAAAAAAGUAAGGCUUGAGAAAAUUAAAAAUAAAAAGAGAAAAGAAAAAAUAAAAAUCAAAGUAAAAUUAAAAAAAGAAAACAAAAAUAAAAGUUGAAAGAUAUAACUAUGGAGUUAUUAUUCAUUAUGAGGAUCAUAUAUGUAAUUACUCCAUUGAUUAGGGGUAAUUUUGUCCAAAAAAAUAUUAGUUAAUAGGUAAGGCUAUAUUAAGGAAAUUUUUUUUAUUUUGGGCUAAAAUUUAAAAGUCACCCCAAUUUGUAUCUAUUUUUUAGAUUCACCCUUUAGUAAGUUAUG
rnacentral:lncRNA from 1 species